CCUACGGGGGACAGCAGUGAGGAAUAUUGGUCAAUGGCCGGAAGGCUGAACCAGCCAUGCCGCGUGAAGGUCAGUGCCCUAUGGGCGUUAAACUUCUUUUGUGCGGGAGCAAUAAUGGUCACGUGUGGCCAGACGAGAGUACCGUACGAAUAAGCAUCGGCUAACUCCGUGCCAGCAGCCGCGGUAAUACGGGGGACGCAAGCGUUAUCCGGAUUUAUUGGGUUUAAAGGGUGCGUAGGCUGUGAGGUAAGUCAGCGGGGAAAUGCCCCCGCUCAACGGGGUGAAGUGCCAUUGAUACUGCCUUGCUGGAAUGCGGAUGCGGUGGGAGGAAUGUGUGGUGUAGCGGUGAAAUGCAUAGAUAUCACACAGAACACCGAUUGCGAAGGCAUCUCACGAAUCCGCGAUUGACGCUGAUGCACGAAAGCGUGGGUAUCAAACAGGAUUAGAUACCCUAGUAGUC
rnacentral:rRNA from 1 species